CAGGCCUAACACAUGCAAGUCGAACGGUAACAGAGAGUAGCUUGCUACUUUGCUGACGAGUGGCGGACGGGUGAGUAAUGUCUGGGGAUCUGCCUGAUGGAGGGGGAUAACUACUGGAAACGGUAGCUAAUACCGCAUAAUGUCGCAAGACCAAAGCGGGGGACUUUCGGGCCUCGCACCAUCAGAUGAACCCAGAUGGGAUUAGCUAGUAGGUAAGGUAAUGGCUUACCUAGGCGACGAUCCCUAGCUGGUCUGAGAGGAUGACCAGCCACACUGGAACUGAGACACGGUCCAGACUCCUACGGGAGGCAGCAGUGGGGAAUAUUGCACAAUGGGCGCAAGCCUGAUGCAGCCAUGCCGCGUGUAUGAAGAAGGCCUUCGGGCUGUAAAGUACUUUCAGUCAGGAGGAAGGGUGUGAAAUUAAUACUUUCAUGCAUUGACGUUACUGACAGAAGAAGCACCGGCUAACUCCGUGCCAGCAGCCGCGGUAAU
rnacentral:rRNA from 1 species